rnacentral:rRNA from 1 species
UACGUAGGCAGCGAGCGUUGUUCGGAAUUACUGGGCGUAAAGAGUGUGUAGGCGGUGUUCCCAGUCUGUUGUGGAAUCUCCCGGCUUAACUGGGAGGGUGCAGCGGAAACUAGAAUGCUAGAGGGUGGGAGAGGUAAGCGGAAUUCCUGGUGUAGCGGUGAAAUGCGUAGAUAUCAGGAGGAACACCUGUGGUGUAGACAGCUUACUGGACCACUUCUGACGCUGAGACACGAAAGCGUGGGUAGCAAACAGG